GAUACUAAUUAAUGUCAGUUUCCUGCUGUUGGUUCUGUAAGCAGUAGCCUCUGGGGGGAAAUGGGUGCAAGUUACAGAGGAAUCUGUUCUUUUUGCAGCCUCUUGUGAAUUUGUAAUUAUUUCAGAAUAAAGGGUGGAAAGAUGUUGAGAGGAAACAGAGAGGGAAAUGCUAAAAGCUUUUCCGUUAAUGUCAGGAACAGGUUAAACAAAAAUGCAAAGCCAGCUUGUCUCCAGCUAAACAGAGUCUCCCUUUUUGAUACGAGUUUAGUAAAUGGACAAAUUUCCUGUAUUUGAAGCCUACUUAGUAUUAUCACCUCUGUCCUGAAGGUGAUGAGCCCAGAGUUGAAGGCCUGAGUCCUUAGCACAACAGAGAGAAAGCUCAGUCUUCCCUAAUCUGACCAAGUACCUGCAAAAACAUCCGUGUCCUCGGACACUGGGACAGAGGACUGUCUGUGGCCUAACCUGUGGCGAUACCAUUCUCGUUAGCUGAUAAAAAUAGAUAAACUUGCAGACUGCUGAUUUCCAAACCCAUUUCCAUUCAUUUAUAAAUAACACGUGCAAAUAGAAUAUGUUGGUUAGCUUUUCCAUGCUCUCAGAAUAAGUCGGACCUGCUGUUUUUCCAGAGAGUUUCCCAGACCUCAUAAAUGAAGACCACACUAAUUUGCUGUUUAAUUUGUUGCAGGCUAAAUUAGAAAUAAAGCUGUAGCAGGUGAACAUUUACUGAAAGAAUGGAAGAAAAGGUAGGAAGAUGGAAAAUAACACUUCUAAGUACUGGCCUAGGCCGAGCACGUAAAAACUCCACAAAUUAGGAGUAUCGGAAAAACCCAAACUUGGGAAAAAGUACAUAAUGGAUUAACAGGAAGAGCAGAAGAGUGAGGCUGGCAAAUGUGGAAAGCUGGAGAAUAUGCUGUUACGUGGCCACAUUUACAAACCAGGUAUGUUUUCCGUUCAGUUUGGCAAACAUCUAAUGAGGCCAGAUCACAGGACAGAGGCCGGGAUACAAAAUGUCACCUGCAGGCUCCUGGCCCGAGGCAUUCACAGACCACAGGUCUCCAGGGAGGGAGCUCUAUUUACCCAUGCAGGAGGGGAAAAAUAACUUUCCCUCUACGUUUCUGUGUUCUUGGCUGAGCCCCCUGCCCUGAAAUCUACAGGAACAAGGGAGAAGCACACAGAAGUUGAUGAACAGGCAUGCCUCAUGCAAACAUGGGAGACAUGGGGGAGAAUGAGGAACAGAGAGGUGGCUCAACCCUUUGGCUUACAGAGCACCUUCAACAAAGAACGAUCAAUGUGCAGAGAAUUGGCAGGACAGAGGGAAGUAGUCGUAGGCUUUCAAGGCCAGUUGGGAGAUAAAGGCCAGUUGGGAAAAUCUGUUAUAUAGAUUCCUUUGGUGCCCUCUCCAGGCUGACCGGGUCUUGAGUCGUCUCCAGAGACCAACCUCAGUCCUUCCUAGAGGAUGGGGCACCUUUGAAAACUUAGGUCCGGCUUUUAAGAAAAUAGGGGGAAGGCAGAGAGCUUUUCUGGCAUCUGCUUCUCCAGGGCAUCUUCAGCUCACAAUAAUCUUUAUGCCAAAGCAGCAGGCUUGGGAUGGUGUAGUCUGCUAAGCGUCUUCAUACAUAUCUGAACUGGUCUAAUAAUAUCCAAUGUAAACUGAAAACGAACCAGCAAGGAAAAAAAAAACCACCACCACCAGAGACCCUAACGCAGAAACAGGAAAUUCUGUUAAUGCAACAUUUAUUAAUUAAACAUACACACAUAUGGCACACACACACACACACAAAUCACCACAUAGCUAUUAUUCAAGUAAAAUGCUAUCUCACAUAGCUGCACAUGAAUAAUUAAAAUCCCGGGCUCCAGCCUUCUGAGAAGGCAGUCACAUGCCACAAUCGAAAGUUAGUAAGUUACCAAUAAAAUAGAUUUCUUUGCAUUGUGCUUCUGAUCUCUCUUCACGGAGUCUUUCCAUGAGAAUAAGGGAAAAAAAGACACAACACGUGGCCUAAAAUCGUGUUUGAAAGCCACUCAAAGGGGUAAAUACAACAGAUGAAGAUAGGCCGUUGCAAUGAGAAUCCUUGCCUAGCUGGGGAAAGGAAACUGAGGAGUUUUCUCUAGGCCGCCAGACUUGUGUUAUCUGGAUAAUUUCACCUGAGUCACGCGAUAAUUGCUGGCAAAUUCUUGGUGAGAACUCGUUGGAGCGAUGCCCAGAAAACUGCUUCUUACACACGUGUUCAAUAAAAUAAGAGAA